rnacentral:rRNA from 1 species
AUUGAACGCUGGCGGCAGGCCUAACACAUGCAAGUCGAGCGAGCGGCGGACGGGUGAGUAAUGUAUGGGGACUGCCCGAUAGAGGGGGGUAACUACUGGAAACGGUGUCUCAUACCGCAUACUGUCGGAUUAGCCACAUGGGUUUAGCUAGUAGGUAGGGUAAUGGCUUACCUAGGCGACGAUCUCUAGCUGGUCGGAGAGGAUGAUCAGCCACAAUGGGACGGGGACACGGCCCAGACUCCUACGGAGGCAGCAGUGGGGAAUAUUGCACAAUGGGGGCGAGCCUGAUGCAGCCAUGCCGAGUGUAUGAAGAAGGCGCAAGGGUUGUAAACCUCUUUGGCUAUCGAAGGGGUAGGUGGAGAAGAAGCGCCGGCUAACUACGUGCCAGCAGCCGCGGUAAUAC